CCUACGGGAGGCAGCAGUAGGGAAUCUUCCGCAAUGGACGCAAGUCUGACGGAGCUACGCCGCGUGAGUGAUGAAGGUUUUCGGAUCGUAAAGCUCUGUUGCCAGGGAAGAACAGGUGUGAGAGUAACUGCUCAUGCUGUGACGGUACCUGAGAAGGAAGCCCAGGCUAACUACGUGCCAGCAGGCGCGGUAAU
rnacentral:rRNA from 1 species